CAAGGCUCUCCAGAAUGGGACAUAUCGAGCUCUUUGGUACUUUGACAGCUGGACCUUCCUGUAAUUCAGGUUAUGGUCUCUCCUCUUUGGCUAAUGCCAGCGACCACCCUGUAAUGAGGGGACAGGUUGCAUCUUGCUUUUGAAAUCUGGGGGAUUAGAAUCAUUUGCGUAACAUGGGCAGCUUGACCUCCCUGUAAGUAGGGUUUGAGUCUCCGAGGCCCUUUGGCUGCUUAGUGAGUGUGACUGCCCAGCAAUCAGGGUGCAAGUCACCUCCCCCUAAAUGUGGGGGGGCAUUGAGCUCUUUGUUAAACUGAGCAAUGUGACCGCCCUGUAACUAGGGCCCGGGUCUCUGCCCACUUGCUCAUUUGGCUUUAUGCCAUGCUCUGCCCCAUUAGUCAGCGUGACCCUCUAGUCUCUUGGCACUAGGCCAAAUGCAGCCACUACCCCGAAUGAGCACCCUGUAAACAGGGUACAGGUCUCAUCAGCUACUAUUUAUGGUGCCCCCAUGAGACUGUGUCCAGAGUACUGGCCCUUUAAGCAGCAUUUGCAACGUGCCUGGAAUUCUGCAGCCAAGUCUCCUGCUUUCUCCUCCCUUCUUGGACUCUUGGAGACCUGACAUGCUAUUGGUGGCCUCAUGAAGCAGAAGUGGAGAAGAAGGAAGUGUCAGGAAUGCCACUGACAGAGGAGAAAAGAAGAUGGAGGAAAAGGAAAGGAACUCUGGGCACAGUACCCUCCCUGAAAUCAGCCUCAGGUCAUGUAAUUAGACUGUAUGGGAAUCUCGAGCCUUUUAAUACCUUGAGCAGCGUGACCACACUGUAAGCUGGGUCCCGGUCUGUCCCCUUUGGACAUUCUGCUCCGUCAUCUGGCUAGUGUGAGUGACUGUCCUGUAAUGAGGGUGCCAGUCACCUCCCCCUAAAUGUGGAGGGGCAUUGAGCUCUUUCUUUAAUUGAGCAUUGUGACCGCCCUGUAACUAGGGCCCGGGUCUCUGCCCACUUGCUCAUUUGGCUUUACGCCAUGCUCUGCCCAAUUAGUCAGUGUGACCGCUCUGUAAUUAGGGUCUAUGUCACAAGUUACUCUUAAAUGGGACAUAUCGAGCUCUUUGGUACUUUGACAGCUGGACCUUCCUGUAAUUCAGGUUAUGGUCUCUCCUCUUUGGCUAAUGCCAGCGACCACCCUGUAAUGAGGGGACAGGUUGCAUCUCGCUUUUGAAAUCUGGGUGUUUAGAAUCAUUUCCGUAACAUGGGCAGCUUGACCUCCCUGUAAGUAGGGUUUGAGUCUCCGAGGCCCUUUGGCUGCUUAGUGAGUGUGACUGCCCUGCAAUCAGGGUGCAAGUCACCUCCCCCUAAAUGUGGGGGGGCAUUGAGCUCUUUGUUAAACUGAGCAAUGUGACCGCCCUGUAACGAGGGCCCGAGUCUCUGCCUACUUGCUCAUUUGGCUUUACGCCGUGCUCUGCCCCAUUAGUCAGCGAAACCGCUCUGUAAUUAGGGUCUAUGUCACAAGUUACUCUUAAAUGGGACAUAUCGAGCUCUUUGGUACUUUGACAGCUGGACCUUCCUGUAAUUCAGGUUAUGGUCUCUCCUCUUUGGCUAAUGCCAGCGACCACCCUGUAAUGAGGGGACAGGUUGCAUCUCGCUUUUGAAAUUGUGUGUUUAGAAUCAUUUCCGUAACAUGGGCAGCUUGACCUCCCUGUAACUAGGGUUUGCGUCUCUGAGGACCUUUGGGUCUCUUGGCCUCGUGCUGUCUUCACAGCGUGCUGUGAAGGACCGCCCUGUCAUCAGGGAUCGGGUCUUUGCCCUCUAGUCUCUUGGCACUAGGCCAAAUGCAGCCACUGCCCCGAAUGAGCACCCUGUAAACAGGGUUCAGGUCUCAUCAGCUACUAUUUAUGGUGCCCCCAUGAGACUGUGUCCAGAGUACCGGCCCUUUAAGUAGCGCUUGCAACGUGCCUGGAAUUCUGCAGCCAAGUCUCCUGCUUUCUCCUCCCUUCUUGGACUCUUGGAGGCCUGACAUGCUAUUGGUGACAUCUUGAAGCACAAGUGGAGAAGAAGGAAGUAUCAAUACCAAGGCAUAACUUUGAAUCUGAAAUGCAGAGACCUUAAACACACAAGUUCUAUAGAACGAUCACUUCCUUUUAUUAAGAAGUCAUCAUUUCCUAUUGGAAGUGCAAAGAUGUGACUGAAGGGAAGGCAUAUUUCUAUUCUCCACUCAUCCCCAAUUCUGCCUCCCAAACUCCUCAAAUAAAUUUAAGGUUCACAAAAUUAACAUUUACUCCAGGUAACGCCUAACUUGUGUAUUUCUCACAGAUUUCUAAAAGGGAGCAACAAACUAAAUGUUCUGGCAUCUGACAGUUACUUCCUGCACUUCACAACUUUCAAACACCUACGCUACUUAAACGGUCUCACCAACCAAAGUGUGCCACACAUUCAAUAUUAACUUUGCACCUAUUUUGUCAGAAGUUAGUGUUUUUAGUAGUUGUGUCCAUUGGUGGACGUGGCAAUAGUGGUGUUUUAAUAAUCUUUUAUGCUUAUUGAAUUCAGAGGAUGAUGAUGUGGAUGUUUAGGUAGGUAUUUUUCUGUUAAGUCUUGGUAUUUGGGCAGAGGUGCAGCAUUUUGUGAUUAUGAUUGUUUUUCUGGUAUUGGUUUAGUGUUAAUUGUUGGCAAUUUUAGAUGUUUUUGUGUACUAACAUUAGUAGAUGUAUUUAGUGGGCAAAGCUGAGGUUGUCUGUUUGGUGCAAUUUGAUUGGUGUAAAAGUUAAUUUCGGGUAGGUGUUUGAAAGCCCUGAGCUUUGAAUGUGUAGCUCAAUAGGGAUGCAGGACCCACCUGGCUACCUCAAUUCUUACUUUCAUUCCUAAUUCCAAAAUCUUGGAUGAAGAUGACCAUAUAAAGAAGAAUAAAGAUAUCUCCAGAGACUUUCAAGAGGGUCGCAUUUCUGCAGCUUAGGGGAUCCCUUAAACCUUAUUGAGCUUUUCAAAGUGCAAUAAUUGUGGAAAACUUCUACUUCUGCCACUUAAGUGUUGAACAAUAAUCUGUAUUAAAGGAUUUACACUGGUAGUUAAUUCUGUUCUGUAUUAAGAUGAUUUUGCUAAAAUCACCACUUUAUGAUGUGUGAAAUGAAUUAACUAGGUCUGAUUAUACCUAUUUGAUAAAAGUUGGACUACUCCAUAUUAAAUGCAUGGAUUGAACUUUGAUUGUCAGAUCACAUUGCUUUGCUUUCUGUAACUCCUUAUUUAUGAACGUAUUUAUUACUCUUUAUGUCAUUCAAUUAAUAAAAUGUAU